ensembl:lincRNA
AUGGAAAUAACUUUAUGGUAUUUUUGACUGCUUAACUUUGUAAGUCUUCCAUAUACACAAAUUCACAAGUCAAGAGAAAAAAAAACUUUAGUCUGUCAAAUGCUGUCUUCCGAUUUUGGUGAGGGCAACAUUUUUGCUGGAACUGCCUCUCUGUUGGUUCUCUGAGCUUGUUGACAUAACAUUUAACAUUUACUUAAAAGGGAAAAAGGCACUCAGAAUACAUGGAAAAAUCAAUGAAAGUCCGAGGAAAAACCAUGGUUAAUGUUUAACAUUCAUGUUGGUUAGCGGAGCCUUUUUUAACCCCUCCCCGCCUUCCUCCUUUGGACCUCCCACAUCCAGCCCACCCUCAGCUACAGCCUGGGGAUGCUUCUGAGGAGUGCCCGCCAGAUGGGCUUGCUCAGAAAUCUUCUGUGGCUCUCAGAUGCGUGAAAUCUACUUCCACAGCCUUAGCCUGCGACUCCCGCCUUCCUCAGGCCGGCCCCCACCUGCCUCUUCCUCCGUACUUUCCACUGCAUCCUGUGUCUCUGCUUUCCCCGUUCAGCUCUGCCCACCUCACCUGUGUGAGCCGAGCCUCUGAUCUAGCUGACCCCGGUCUGUUCAUGCGAUCUCCAGUUUUCGUUAAAAGCCCACUCUCUGAAGAGCCCUCCCACAUAUCAGGGGUUGGGCAUAACAAAGAGAAAUUAAUGAAGAAAGAGGAAUCUCUGCCACCAGCCCUGGGAUUUUCUGUCUCUGAUGCCUUAUUUAUUAUUUACGACUACCUCCGCUGUACUGUGAGCACCUACAGGCGUGUCUUGUCCACGUCUUUGUUCGGGACCUCAAGAACCUGGAAAGAAUCAAACCCCAGGGAACCCACCGUCCUAAGUCUGGGUCUUACUCAUCUUGAUCAAGGUAAAGACACUAAAGAGUGCUCUGCACAGACUGAGACUUCAGCAAAUGUUUGUUCAUUUGAAUUUAGUUUGGCAGAAAAAGAAUCAAUUCUUAAAGUUAGUCCACAUCAGGCUAAGUGUGUUAUUGUUUAUCCACAGGCAUUAUUCCCUUCUGAAUGUAGCACUUUUACAAGAAUCCAAAGGUCAUGAUCAACCUUCAGAAAGACAUUUUGUAUUUUACCACCAAAACAGUGGUACAGGCCUUACUAGACUUCUAUAAGCAGGACUUCAUUUCCUGGGAAAUCCUGAAGCAUCUCACUUUAUCUGGAAGGAGAAAGUGAAGGAAAGUAUUUGCCUUUGUGGGUUUUCAUAGCUCCUGAACAUGGCAAAUUGCUUAAUUCGUUUUUUUGUGUUUUUGUUUGUUUGUUUGUUUGUGUUUUAGCUUUGGGUGGCAAUUGAUUUUCUUUUACUGCAUGUAGAGUGCCAUCUUGUGGCCAAGAAGCAUACAGCACUCAUAUUUUCCUGUGCUCUGGGGCUGAUUUUGGGGUUUUGACAAGCUUUUGUAACUGUGCUUCUGUAAUCCCACGUUUUUCCACACUGAGGAUCAAAUACAGGGCCUCCUUCAUUUUAGGCCAGUGCCCUACCACAGAGUGUUCUAUCUCCAGCCCCUAUUAUUCCUCCUUAUUUCUGUAGUCUGGAGAAUCUCCGAGUGAAGAAACGAGAGUUAUUGGGUGAUCAUGUAUACGGUUUACUGCUAAGCCAACUCCAGUUGGCCUUCAUCUCUCGAGGAUAUACUUAUAAGCACUUAUGAUUACUGUGUUGUGUGCGUUUCCCAUCUUCUCUCUUUGCAGUGCCCCGAGAGCUGUCCCCUCUCCCAACACAGUGUUUUGUUUUUGCUUUUGAGAAAGAUCCCAUGUGAAAUUGAGGAAAUGGUAGGAGUCGUCUUUGGGAGGCGUGGGAUUGAGGGAGCUCAAGACCACUUUAGAAAGGCCCAAGCUCAAGUGGGACUUUUAAAGGAGACUUUCUGCUGGAGUCUGUGACAGCUGUAGGUGAGGGGCGGCAGGACACCGGGGUCAGGCCCUAUUGUACAGCUUUGGGGAAAAGGACAGAAUAAUAAACCUCAAAUACAGUGAGAAAAACUUCAGACGAUCCAAGCGACCAGACCACAGAAAGAAACUGAAAGACAGGAUAUUGUGAACUAAUUGCUCCCAAUAUGCACUAAAUCUUCUGUGGUGUUGAUAUCAGAACCCCACAAGCUCUUCUCAG